rnacentral:rRNA from 1 species
UGGGGAAUUUUGGACAAUGGGCGAAAGCCUGAUCCAGCAAUGCCGCGUGUGUGAAGAAGGCCUUCGGGUUGUAAAGCACUUUUGUCCGGAAAGAAAUCCUCUGGGUUAAUACCUCGGGGGGAUGACGGUACCGGAAGAAUAAGCACCGGCUAACUACGUGCCAGCAGCCGCGGUAAUACGUAGGGUGCAAGCGUUAAUCGGAAUUACUGGGCGUAAAGCGUGCGCAGGCGGUUUUGUAAGACGGAUGUGAAAAUCCCCGGGCUUAACCUGGGAACUGCAUUCGUGACUGCAAGGCUAGAGUAUGGCAGAGGGGGGUAGAAUUCCACGUGUAGCAGUGAAAAUGCGUAGAGAUGUGGAGGAAUACCGAUGGCGAAGGCAGCCCCCUGGGCCAAUACUGACGCUCAUGCACGAAAAGCGUGGGGGAGCAAAACAGGAUUAGAUACCCUGGUAGUCCACGCCCUAAAACGAUGUCAACUAGUUGUUGGGGAUUCAUUUCCUUAGUAACGUAGCUAACGCGUGAAGUUGACCGCCUGGGGGAGUACGGUCGCAAGAUU